GUACUUACGUCAGCAGCACAUAUACUAAAAUUAGAAAGCUACAGAGAAAAUUAUCAUGGCCCCUAUGCAAGGAUGACAAGCAAAUUUGUGAAAUGUUUUAUAUUUUU